UAUACUGUGAAACUGGGAAUGGCUCAUUAAAUCAGUUAUCGUUUAUUUGAUGGUACCUUACUACAUGGAUAACCGUGGUAAUUCUGGAGCUAAUACAUGCAAAUAAUCUCGACGUAAGAAGGGAUGUAUUUAUUAGAUAAAAAACCAAUGCCAUUUCGGUGGUAUGUGGUGAUUCAUAAUAACUGAACUUAGCGUAUGGCCUUUGGCUGACGCAAGAUCAUUCAAAUACCUGCCCUAUCAAGUUUCGAUGUGAAGGUAGUGUCCUCACAUGCUUUUGACGGGUAACGGGGAAUUAGGGUUCGACUCCGGAGAGGGAGCCUGAGAAAUGGCUACCACAUCCAAGGAAGGCAGCAGGCGCGCAAAUUACCCAAUCCCGACAUGGGGAGUAGUGACAAGAAAUACCGAUACAGGACUCUUUUGGGUCUUGUAAUUGGAAUGAGUACAAGUUAAACUUCUUAACAAGUAGCAACUGAGAGGUCAGCGAGCAUAUAUUAAAGUUGUUGCAGUUAAAAAGCUCGUAGUUGAAACUUGGGCCUGGCUGGCUGGUCCGCCUCACCGCGUGUACUGGUCUGGCUGGGUCUUUCCUCCUGGGGAGCCACAUGCCCUUCACUGNGUGUGUUGGGGAACCAGGACUUUUACUUUGAAAAAAUUAGAGUGUUCAAAGCAGGCNUAUGCUCGAAUACAUUAGCAUGGAAUAAUAGAAUAGGACGUGUGGUUCUAUUUUGUUGGUUUCUAGGACCACCGUAAUGAUUAAUAGGGAUAGUCGGGGGCAUCAGUAUUCAAUGGUCAGAGGUGAAAUUCUUGGAUUCAUUGAAGACUAACUACUGCGAAAGCAUUUGCCAAAGAUGUUUUCAUUAAUCAGGAACGAAAGUUAGGGGAUCCAAAACNAUCANAUACCGUCGUAUUCUUAACCGUAAACUAUGCCGACUANGGAUUGGGUGGUGUUACUUUUUUUGACCCACUCNCCACCUUGANANAAAUCAAACUUUUUGGGUUCU
rnacentral:rRNA from 1 species